UCUCUCUCUCUCUCUCUCUCUCUCUCUCUCUCUCUCUCUCUCUCUCUCUCUCUCUCUCCGAAUUCUAUAUAGGAUGCAUGACUUUAAAAUAAAUGAUGAUGAUGAUAUUCGUUUAACAGGCCAAACAUUAUAAUGCCAGUAUGUUACCAAAAAAAUCAGAUUUUAGAAGACGAAAGUGUGAACUUGUGGGAUGAAGCUGUAUAUUCAAAAGAUGAUAUUGUAGAUAGAGGGGAUGAAGAAUGGGUAAUAAAUAUUGAGGGGCCACACUAUUUGGAGGAUAUAAGUGGAAUUGUGGUGUAUGCCUUUUUUAAAAUGUAUCCAUGGAAACAUAAAAGAUUUAACAGCAUUUUACGUGAUAAUAUUGAGGUAACCAUUAAAAGCUCAAAUCCCGUAUGCCUACUCAAAAGUUCUGAAGCGGUAUAUAUGUCUAAUCUUUAUGUAAAGAAUAAAUUUGGAGGCGGAGAUGAAGUAUUGGUGUGUUACUUCGAUUUAGAAUCAUUUGAACUAAAGGUUUUGGACAAUUUAAGGGUUCAACUUCAUCCUUUGUUGGGUCAUUUUUAUAGAAGUUGGGGAGCUAAUAUUAUAUACAAGCAUGAAAGCAAAGCGCAUGAAAGAAGAAAAAUGGAUUGAAUAAAAUGAUAGGCCAAGUGGCCUGUUGCUACUAUUUCUUUGGAAUUUCAGUUGUAGCAGGAUUUUUAGUCCAUCCAAAUGAAAGGACAGAGAAGAAACUGAAGAAAGUCAACACAGGGUGUUUGAUGAAAUACCUCAUUUAACUUGAGAGCACCGAGAGUCUACUGUUUCUAUUUAUAAUGUGCAUUACAUCAAUACAAGAGAUAUUGUGCCGUUGGAGACUUGGUGUAACUUGCGGAAUUGAAAUAAUACAAAGUUGACAAAGUUGGAAUUAGCCGUUGCAUGGAUUGGGGUUGCCAUAUGGGUGAUCGAGAGAAUCUUUAGCAAAUGGAGAUGCAUUAGCUGCCAUUGUGGCUAUUGCCAUGAGAGAUGGGUCUUCAUUUGGGCUAUACCGCUGCAUUGUUGAUACAAAAGGAGCUUUUGUGCAUCCAGCAUUGUAUGAGAAUUUCAAACUAACAGUCGUGGAGGCAAUGAGCAGUAGAACCCUAUAAUGGUGAUGAAUUGAGCCACAAGAUUGUUGAUUUCUUUGAAAUGUGAAAGGCGGAUCCUGAAAAUUGGAACAAGAUCUCAAAAGCUAGUCUCUGGCGUAUAAAUAAAUGGUAAGUAUUUCAUCACCAGAUAUAGAGAACUAACCAUGAGAAUUUCCUUUGACACUUGGUUGUUCUUGGAUUGCAGCUACAUAUGGAAGAUUUAUGCAAACGAGCUGUUGAACAUGGGAGCAGCGUAUGGAUUCUGGUGGCAGAUGAACAAGGAACAAAAGUUAGCUGAACAAAAACAUAUCAUCAUAUUCUACAAUCUCCAAUUUAGGAAUUUACUGAGUUUUUACAACUAUAUUUAGGCAUAUUGAAAUCAUAAACAUUUUAUAUCGAGUUCCAUUCAUUGUAUCACAGGCAAGGAGUUUGCCCACCCAAAGCAAAGAACCCCAACAAGCAACACCAGCUGCGACGUCUAAAGCCUAAACAACCAGCGACAACAUAGACAACUGAAUCCCAGUCCAAACCAAGGCACAUAAGCUAACUAAUAAGAAAAUUUACUGAACAAAAGUUAUUUGAUUUCCUUCCAUGGUUGUAAGUUAUGCGGAAGGGAGCAUAGAAACUAGUUUUCAUGUUUUUUUUUAGUGCAAAUUUCUUAUGCAACAAAUGGUCCUUUUAAUUAAAUGGUAAGAGAGGAAAUGCAAUAAAUGGGUAAAUGAGUGAUCACAAUAAAGUGAAAAGGUUGGAAUUAGAGGCGCUUCAUUCUUGAUUCUCUGUCUUUUAAUUUAUUACCUCCCAAUAUGAAACUGUAUCUUUUGUUCAUAUAGCUAAACUGUAUCUCAUUUUCAGUCUUGAUAGAUCAAAACAUAGAGAAAACUUGAGAACUCGGAUGUAUUUCAACGUAUACUUAUCGUAAUGUCUCUGUAUUUUGCUAUGUUUUCUAUAUUUCUAUCCAAUCUAUCUUCAAGCCAAUCAAGUACAAACAUAAAGUAUCAACAGUCCAAUUGUCAUUCUUUAGAGUUUCGAGCCCUCCUCCUCUAAUGAAGAGUUUCUUUAGGCUAUUCAUUUUGCUAGGUACUAGCCAGUCAGGUAUCUUUGUCUCUGGGCAACACCGAAGAUCCAGUUUCUCCAAUUUCUCAGUAAGCUCCAGAAUUUCGUAACUACACUUCGUUGUCGACUUGGAAGCUCAUUAAUUCUGGAGAUCCCUUGAAGGCAAAGAAGCCUUAACUCUUUCUUACUCUUCAACCCUUCAAAGAAUUCAACCCUUUUAAAUCAGGACUUUAACAUUUUUCAUCUUCGAUAACCAUUCCACCACACUUGCUUUUUCUCUUUCUUCUUUGCUAAAAGCUGCAAUUUGAGAUCAGGAAAUGGCUCAUUUACAUUGAAUAUGAUAAUAGGUUUUUCCUGAUUUAAAUUCUUCCAUUCCUUUUCAAAAUUUUCACGUUCCUGAUUUAACUCAAAAGGCUUAUGGUCUCCAUGAUGGUAUGAUUUUCAUUUUCACUCAUUUGUUAGAGAAACUAAACCACUUUGGUGCUGACUUGAAUUAUUUUCAUAAUGGCAGAUAUGGAAGAAGAGAUCAAAGUAUAUGGUAGAGGAAAAGACACAAGGGGAUAAUUUAACUAAGCUUAAAAAUGAAUCU